GACGAACGCUGGUUGCGCUGCCUAAUACAUGCAAGUCAAGCGAAGUUUUUCUGGUGCUUGCACCGGAAAAACUUACCGGCGAACGGGUGAGUAACACGUAAAGAAACUGCCUCAUACACUGGGACAACUAUUGGAAACGAUAGCUAAUACCGGAUAACAGCAUUAACCGCAUGGUUGAUGUUUAAAAGUUGGUUAUGCUAACACUAUGAUAUGGCUUUGCGGUGCAUUAGCUAGUUGGUGGGGGAAAGGCCUACCGAGGCGACCAUGCAUAACCGACCUGACAGGGUGAUCGGCCACACUGGGACUGACACACGGCCCACACUCCUACGGGAGGCAGCAGUAGGGAAUCUUCCGCAAUGGGCGAAAGCCUGACCGAGCAACGCCGCGUGAAUGAAGAAAGAUUUCGGUGCGCAAAGCUCUGUUGUUAAGGAAGAAUGAUUGUGUACUAACUAUACACAGUACAGACGGUACCUAACCAUAAAGCCACGGCUAACUACCUGCCAACAGCCACGGUAAUACGUAGGUGGCAAGCGUUGUCCGGAAUUAUUGGGCGUAAAGCGCGCGCACUUGGUUUAAUAAGUCUGAUGUGAAAGCCCACCGGCUCAACCGUGGAGGGUCAUUGGAAACUGUUAAACUUGAGUGCAAGAGAGAAAAGUGGAAUUCCUAGUGUAGCGGUGAAAUGCGUAGAGAUUAGGAGGAACACCAGUGGCGAAGGCGGCUUUUUGGCCUGUAACUGACACUGAGGCGCGAAAGCGUGGGGAGCAAACAGGAUUAGAUACCCUGGUAGUCCACGCCGUAAACGAUGAGUGCCUAAGUGUUGGUCUCAUAAGAGAUCAGUGCUGCAGCUAACGCAUUAAGCACUCCGCCUGGGGAGUACGACCGCAAGGUUGAAACUCAAAGGAAUUGACGGGGACCCCCACAAGCGGUGGAGCAUGUGGUUUAAUUCUAAGCAACGCGAAGAACCUUACCAAGUCUUGACAUCCUGUGAGGACACAAGAGAUUGUGUUGUUCUGACCUUUGGCUAGACACAGAUACAGGUGGUGCAUGGUUGUCGCUCAGCUUGCAUCGAUGAGAUGUUGGGUUAAGUCCCGCAACGAGCGCAACCCUUAUAUCUAGUUGCCAGCAGUAAGAGGGGGACUCUAGAUAGACUGCCAGUGAUAAACUGAAGGAAGUUGGGGAUGACGUCAAAUCAUCAUGCCCCUUAUGACUCGGGCUACACACGUGCUACAAUGGAUAGGAACAAAGAGAAGCGAGCUCGCGAGAGUAAGCAAACCUCACAAAACUAUUCUCAGUUCGGAUUGUAGUAUGCAACUCCACUACGUGAGGCUGGAAUCGCUAGUAAUCGCGAAUCAGAAUGUGGCGGUGAAUACGUUCCCGGCUCU
rnacentral:rRNA from 1 species